rnacentral:rRNA from 1 species
UACGGAGGGUGCGAGCGUUAAUCGGAAUUACUGGGCGUAAAGCGCACGUAGGCGGUUGGGUGAGUCGGAUGUGAAAGCCCUGGGCUUAACCUGGGAACUGCAUUCGAUACUGCUCGGCUAGAGUAUGGGAGAGGGAAGCGGAAUUUCCGGUGUAGCGGUGAAAUGCGUAGAUAUCGGAAGGAACACCAAUGGCGAAGGCAGCUUCCUGGCCCAAUACUGACGCUCAGGUGCGAAAGCGUGGGGAUCAAACAGG